rnacentral:rRNA from 1 species
UACGGGGGGGGGCAAGCGUUGUUCGGAAUUACUGGGCGUAAAGGGCUCGUAGGCGGCUUUGCGUGUCUUUCGUGAAAUCCCUCGGCUCAACUGAGGACGUGCGGAAGAAACUGCAGGGCUGGAGUCCGGGAGAGGAGGGUGGAAUUCCCAGUGUAGCGGUGAAAUGCGUAGAUAUUGGGAGGAACACCGGUGGCGAAGGCGGCCCUCUGGACCGGUACUGACGCUGAUGCGCGAAAGCGUGGGGAGCAAACGGG